UACGGAGGGUGCGAGCGUUGUCCGGAAUCAUUGGGCGUAAAGGGCGCGUAGGUGGCGGGACAAGCGUGUGGUGAAAGCCCGGGGCUCAACCCCGGGUCGGCCGUGCCGACUGUUAGACUAGAGUGCUGUAGGGGCAGGCGGAAUUCCGGGUGUAGCGGUGGAAUGCGUAGAGAUCCGGAGGAAGACCGGUGGCGAAGGCGGCCUGCUGGGCAGUUACUGACACUGAGGCGCGACAGCGUGGGGAGCAAACAGG
rnacentral:rRNA from 1 species